CGAGAUGCAACUGGACCGGGAGGACGUGGUGGAAGCAAGCCUGAUUCCAAACAGGCACCGAGAGGCUUUCGGGGAAUUCUUCAGUGGGUUGAUAACUUGCCGAUCGGCCCGUGGUCAAAAAAAUUUAAUAACUACAUCGGCGUUUUAGUACGGCGGGCUCAAGUCAUAAACCCAUACUUCAAAUUCAAGGAGCUUCCAUGGUCCGCAUACGAGGAUAUAUAGAGAGAGUUGAUGGUAUAUGAUCAUUACUUCUUUAAUUUUUUUUGAUAUAGAAUACGUUUACAAAAUGCUUAGAUAUCUUAUAUUUUUACAUGCAAAAUUGUAGAAAUACUAUUGUCUUGAGGACUACCCGGGGGCGUGGCACUAUGUUUUCAAUAUCAAAGUUGAGGCCGUGCUCAAACAGUGGCGACAUGAGCUGAAGAUAUCAACAUAUGAUAAAUAUACCCAAGACUGGCAGAGAUUUUUAAAUCUCGAUGAGAGGGUGGAUCUCGAUCAUUUCACGGCUCUUCUUUUUUAUUGGGAUACCGAGUCCGCACAGGAUAAAUCUAAGAAGGGCUCGACGAACCGACAUAGCAAGCGCAAGCUUGACCACCACUUGGGAUCGAGGUCCUUUGCCAACCUUGAGUAUAGAUAUUGUCGAGACACGGGGAAGCCGAUAAUGCCGAUCAAUUUGAAGGCAAAGUUAGCUUACGGCACAUUUCACUCAACAUAUAAAGAUGAAGAGAAGAUUAAAGAAAACAUGGUGUUGGUGGAUAAUAUUGCUGCCGCGUCGAAGGAUGCAGCACUACGUGCUACCCAAGAAGCUGCUGAUGACCCUCAUGUUUUGUCAAGAGAGGAAAGUAAUGUCAUUGCAAUGAAUGUGAUGGGGUAUAAUAACCGGGGUAGAUACCCAUUGAUGGGGGUUGGAGCUCAGCGGGGUACCUCCAGAAAAUCCUCCACGGCAUCCUCGACAACCUCGACUGCAACUACAUCAUCAAACAGAACU